rnacentral:rRNA from 1 species
CGGGAGGCAGCAGUGGGGAAUAUUGCACAAUGGGCGCAAGCCUGAUGCAGCCAUGCCGCGUGUGUGAAGAAGGCCUUCGGGUUGUAAAGCACUUUCAGUCGUGAGGAAGGUAGUGUAGUUAAUAGCUGCAUUAUUUGACGUUAGCGACAGAAGAAGCACCGGCUAACUCCGUGCCAGCAGCCGCGGUAAUACGGAGGGUGCGAGCGUUAAUCGGAAUUACUGGGCGUAAAGCGCAUGCAGGUGGUUUGUUAAGUCAGAUGUGAAAGCCCGGGGCUCAACCUCGGAAUUGCAUUUGAAACUGGCAGACUAGAGUACUGUAGAGGGGGGUAGAAUUUCAGGUGUAGCGGUGAAAUGCGUAGAGAUCUGAAGGAAUACCGGUGGCGAAGGCGGCCCCCUGGACAGAUACUGACACUCAGAUGCGAAAGCGUGGGGAGCAAACAGGAUUAGAUACCCUGGUAGUCCACGCCGUAAACGAUGUCU